UACGUAGGGUGCAAGCGUUGUCCGGAAUUAUUGGGCGUAAAGAGCUCGUAGGCGGUUUGUCGCGUCGAAUGUGAAAACCCGGGGCUCAACCCCGGGCCUGCAUUCGAUACGGGCAGACUAGAGUUCGGUAGGGGAGUCUGGAAUUCCUGGUGUAGCGGUGAAAUGCGCAGAUAUCAGGAAGAACACCAAUGGCGAAAGCAGCUUUCUGGGACGGUACUGACGCUGAGACGCGAAAGCGUGGGGAGCGAACAGG
rnacentral:rRNA from 1 species